GGUCAUUAAAUUCUAACAAUACAACUUAAAUACUAAUCCUGUGGCAUUACAAUUUCUGUUAGCUUGACAUGCCUGCAAUCAGGGAGUGGUGGUGUCUACGUCUAAUUGAGCGGUUUGAGACAGAGGGGCAUGGGAAAAGGUUCGCCCACUGGACAGAGGAGGCAAGAUGCCUGACUGAAGGGACAUUACGACCACUUUACAGGAGUUUUCCAGGACUAACACAUGACCUACCACAACAUGUUGUUGCCAGUAGGAACCGAAAGUUAUCCAACCAGGCUCUGGUGGACUUCAUUGUGGCAAGAGGAACCGAUAACCACAUUCAGUCCAUCAUCAGUGGACAAAAAAAAUCACAGUGGCUUGACACUUUUUCCAAGUGUUCCAUAAAGAAAGUGCCUGUGCCAUUGUUCAUUGAAGAUCAGGAACAAAUUGAUAUUAUCUACACUCACCUGACUUCAAUUCUGAACAGUACACCCACACACACCCACAGUGACCAGAUCAGAUUUAUUAUGGAUGUCCUUUUUCCAGAGGUAGGACUAAUGUGUUAGUUGUGCUCUGCAUGGUGUCAUAUUCACAUUGUUUUUA
ensembl:lncRNA